CCCUGAUUAGCUGAGUUAGUAGAGCGCUCCACUGGAAAUGGAGGGGUCACGGGUUCGGUGCCCGGACCAGGCA
rfam:Ixodes scapularis strain Wikel colony gcontig_1108378611018, whole genome shotgun sequence.